GCCUCUUUGGCCAAGUGGUAAGGCGUCGCACUCGUAAUGCGAAGAUCAUUGGUUCAAAUCCGAUAGGAGGCA
rfam:Brettanomyces bruxellensis AWRI1499 AWRI1499_contig855_scaffold10, whole genome shotgun sequence.